GUGAAACCGCGAAUGGCUCAUUAAAUCACACCUAAUCUACUGGAAUGUUAGCAGUUACUUGGAUAACUGAGGUAAUUCUUGAGCUAAUACAUGCGAAAAAUCUCGACUCACGGAGAGAUGCUUUUAUUAGAUCAAAACCAAACAGCUUCGGCUGUUCCACUGGUGACUCUGAAUAACCUUGGGCUGAUCGCAUUGCCUUGUGCAGGCGACAUUUCCUUCGAAGGUGUGCCCUAUCAACUGUCGACUGUGAUAUAGACGCUCACAGUGGUUUUGACGGGUAACGGGGAAUCAGGGUUCGAUUCCGGAGAGGGAGCCUUAAAAACGGCUACCACAUCCAAGGAAGGCAGCAGGCACGCAAAUUACCCAAUGAUCGAAGAUCGAGGUAGUGACGAAAAAUAACAAUACAAGACUCAUCCGAGGCCUGGUAAUUGGAAUGAGUAUACUUUAAAACCGUUCCCGAGGAUCUAUUGGAGGGCAAGUCUGGUGCCAGCAGCCGCGGUAAUUCCAGCUCCAAUAGCGUAUAUUAAAGUUGUUGCGGUUAAAAAGCUCGUAGUUGGAUUUCGGCGGGCAGAGGUUGGUUUGAAUUGCUUCAACACUGACUUUUUUGCCCGUGUGUUUUGUCAGAUGCUGACAGGUGAUCUUCGCCGAUUGUCUGUUAGAGCUGGCAGGUUUACUUUGAAAAAAUUAGAGUGCUCAAAGCAAGCUUGAUUGCUUGAAUAUUCGUGCAUGGAAUAAUAGAAUAGGAAGUCGUUUCUAUUUUGUUGGUUUUCAGAAUUCGACUUAAUGAUUAACAGAGACUGACGGGGGCAUUUGUAUUCAAACGACAGAGGUGAAAUUCUUGGACCGUUUGAAGACAAACGACUGCGAAGGCAUUUGCCAAGAAUGUUUUCAUUAAUCAAGAACGAAAG
rnacentral:rRNA from 1 species